CAAUGCCUACGCACGCAUCAGACUUCAAGGCUGGCUGAGGAGCUGCUUGUUUUUGGCCAAAGCAGCAGCCAGCGAGCGACCAAAUUAUACGUCUCAGGUUUCGAAAAAACCCGACUUGGGGGAGAAUCCGAAACCCUAGAUUUUCUUCUUCUCCCUUCCACCAUUAUUUAAUUAAUUUCAUUAAUUUCAUUAAUUUAAUGGAGAAUCAGCAAAUGGAAGAAAAAGAGGAGAGCCUGGAUAGAUCGAUGACGUGUUAUAUCAAGUGGGGGCAUCGCAGCCUCUCUCUCUUCCUCCAUAGCCCCCACCAAACUCUGCAUAGCCCCCACCAUCUCUCUCAGUCCUCCCCCACAUCAUUUCCCCUUUCGUUUUUUUAUUCUUUUCCUUCUCAGAUAUUUUCUCUCUCUCUACUUCUCUCUCUCUCUCUCUAAAUUCUCUCAUGAGCUUCUUUCUUCUUCGUCAGGCAUACGCUCUCUACCUUGUCUCCUCCACCAUUGAACCAGAUCUCCUCAUCUUCAUCUCUUCCCUCAGUUCGUCUCCGCUUCUUCUAUGGACGCCACCGACCUUGAAAUUUCCUCUCAUCCUUGCGUCUCUCAGGCUGCAUUCUCCUUCUUUUGCUCUAUUCUAUUGCCUCUACGGCUUCCGAGCUCCCAAUUUUGCUGCUUCAGGACGGAACAUCCGUUUCGUCUUUGAGCUAACGGUUUGUUUGGCUGCCGAGAAAAUUUUGAGAAAUUAUAAGCGUAAACGGAGAUGGAACUGGGAAUCGUGUAAUUAUGGACUUAUCACAUGCCCUACGCGGCUAAAAGUCGAUAUAAUGAAGGAAGGUGAUUUUGUUUCCGAGACGCGUACUUGGGCUCUCAAAUCAGGAAAUUAUAUUGCAAUAAGGACAUGAAAUUGCUCUUGAUGCUGUCUAUGUAAAUCAAAUUGCGUGAACAAGGAGUUACAUAAUGUAACUCACAUCGCGUGCUUGCAUUUUAGUUCUCUAAAUUGAUGGCACCAUAAAGGAGAAAUUGAGCUUAACAUGACACUAGUUAGGGGUCCAUUGCUAGUCUGCGAGCUAAAGGAUCAAAGUCAGGUACGUAGCUGGAACUGAAUUUUAAUAGCAUCCUGGUUUCUUAUUAUUAGUAGAAAUAGAAAGUUGCAAUGCACAGAUGUUUCUAUUGACAAGAACAGAAAAUCUGUAAAUUGUUGCCACGGUUAGCAUUUUGGCAUAUGAUGCCUUUGUAUGGAUAUAGAACUUGAUUUAUAUGAUCAAGGAGCAAUGCGCUAUUGUUUUCUUGCCCUAAUUUCUUUUAUGGGUUCCAUUUACCUCCUAUAUGUACAGCUUUAUAGAGAGUUUUUUGGUCUAGAAAGGAAAAGUGGAACUGGAGAAAUUCUCAGAGUGACAUUUUUAGUGCCUCUAGGAUGAGUCUUACCAGCAGUUGCGGUCUGACCCUUGUUCAGAGCUCCAUACUUGAAUUGAAAUACCUCAAACUAAAAAGAGAUUCCCCUGGAAAUGGUGAACCAAUUUCUUAUUACUGAAACAACUUCACAAAUGUGAGAGCAGACAUAUUUGACGCUUCGUCUUAGCAAUAACCUCUAUUCCCAUUGUUACUGAACUUUGGGAGGUUAGCCAUUCAUCUUUGCUCAAUUCCACAUCGUGUUCAGGAUUAAUACUUUGUUGCUAUGAUCUAUCAAGAAAAAUGAACUAUCUUUUAAUGGAAUUAUUUUGAAAGCUGUGCAGCUAUAGGGGCUUUGUCUUUAUGUCGUAUGUGUGGUCUCUGGACUGAUCUUUUCCUUCUGCAAUUGCAAAUGACGGGCAUCAUGGAUUUGGCGGAUGAAACAGCAUUAAAUCUGAAUUGAAUUUGCCAAUCUAGUCCGUCCAUAAUCUUCCCGUCAUCUUAGUCAUUUCUUUUAGGCGUUUCAUUGAUGCGACAAGCCGGAAGGAAAAUAAUCCAAUUCUUGAUCAACGCCAAGUCAUCAAGGUUGGAUUGGUUCAAGUUGAAUUGGCAACUAGUUAUACAUGGAAGUCCUUUGCUAUCACAGUUUUCUUUCUGUGACAUGCAAAUCACUUUAUCGUUGAAGAGGUGAACUUUAAUUGACCAGUUGGAAGAAGGAAUAAGUGGUUUGAAAUUAUAUGCUUCUGUGUGUUAUUUCUGUGACAGUAGAGAAGCAAAACUUGCUUGCGAGCAAUGACAUAAACAAUGGUGAAAUCUGGAUUUUUAAUUCAAAAAAUCUUUCUAAAUGCAUCCUAUUUUGGACAGUCGUUGUAGCCUGUACAAAAUGGAUUCUGAGAGGACUACUUCUUUGACAGUUUUAUGUUUCUACUUUUUAACGCUGCGUGGCACUUUAGAGUUGAAUGGGAAUUUCCAGAGUAGGUAUUAUUGCAGUGGAUUGAAUCCGGACAGAGGUGGGAACUGAGUUUGGAAGUGUGUCUCUAUGACUGUCUGUUAGUAAAUUCUUAGAACUAGAUUCAAACAGCUGACUAAAAUUAUUCUGGAUGAGGCUGAUAAUAGCGGGGUGAUGAUGAUAUCGUAAAGGAUUUAUGGCUUGGAUUGUGAUUCUGAAAAUGAUGAUGAGGAGGAGAACGAGGCUGUAGGCAAAUGUUUGUUGGAGAGGAAUAUUCUGCCCAUAUUUUUGUUUGCACCUGUGUCAGCAGUUUCUAUAUUGAUUCCGAACGGGCUCAUCAGUUUUCAACUAUAUUGCUUUUCUACAUGCUGCAGUUUCAACAAAAAUAGCAGUGGAAGUUUAUCAGGUUAAAGUGUUUGCUUCUUAAGUCAACAACAUGAUUUUUUAUUCAUAUCAGCAUACAUAUCUAGCAACAUAAAUAUUUAUUUUGUUAGAACCACAUUCGAGCACGAAUCAACCUUGUACUUAUGUUGCCACAGCGAGCACACACACAUGCACAAGAAGCUUCAACUGCGCACGCAUAUACAUACAAAAAGCUUCAACUGAGUAUGUCAUUGUUUAAGAAAAACUUGAACAUCUCACCCCCGACGGGGCUAAUGAUUGAACCCUUUUUCUUUUUA